rnacentral:lncRNA from 1 species
AACAGUUCCAUCCUAGUCCAUCCCAGUUCAAUCCCAGUAUAAACCAGUAACCCCAAAACCCCUCCCAGUCCCUCCCAGUUCCCUCCCAGUCCACCCCAGUUCAAUCCCAGUAUAAACCAGUAACCCCAAAACCCCUCCCAGUCCCUCCCAGUCCCUCCCAGUUCCCUCCCAGUCCCUCCCAGUCCCUCCCAGUCCCUUUCAGUCCCUCCCAGUUCCCUCCCAGUUCCCUCCCAGUCCCUCCCAGUAUAAACCAGUUCCCUCCCAGUCCCUCCCCAGUCCCUCCCAGUCCCUCCCAGUUCCCUCCCAGUAUAAACCAGUAACCCCAAAUCUGCUUUUUAACCCCUCCCAAUCCCCUCCCAAUCCUCUCCCAGUCCCUCCCAGUCCCUCCCAGUCCCUCCCAGUCCCCAGCCUCACCCCAGUCUCCCCAAACUGGUCCCAGUUCGCCGUUCCGGGAGCUCCAGUGGCGCGAGGGGCCCUGGAGCAGCUCCGUGCUCAGCGUCGCCAACCUCAGCGAGUCCCGCGCCCGCCUGCGCCGCCUCUUCCUCCAGUCCCACCAGUCCUCCCAGUCCUCCCAGUCCUCCCAGUCCUCCCAGUCCCCCCGGCCUCGUUACCGCUACCAGAACGUUCCGGCGGCGCCGCCGGACUGGGAGAACUGGGAGAACUGGGAGGGUGGGAACGGAACCGUCGGAGUCUUCGAGUGCGUGGCCAAAAAUGAGCGGGGGAGGGCACGGAGGAGAGUGAGGCUGCGGCUGGGGGACCGGCCGGACCCCCCCCGGGCCCUGCGGCUCUCGGGGGUCUCGGGGACGUCCCUGAGCCUGACGUGGGAGCCGGGAUUCGAUGGCGGCCUGCCCCAGCACUUCCUGUUGCGCGCCGCCGGUCCCGGUGCCCCUCCCCCGCCCGCCGCCGUCGUCACUUCCGGUUGGUCGCUGACGCUGGGCGGGCUCCGCCCGGCCACGCCCUAUGACGUCACCGUGCGCGCCCGGAACGGCCGCGGGGACAGCGCCCCCGCCCGGCUGCACGCCGCCACUUCCGGUACCGGAAAUGGGGCCUGAGGGAGGGGGCGGGGCCUGGCGGUGAUGUCACUGCCGGCCGGGAGGCAAAAUGGCCGCCGGAGAGACAAAAUGGCCGCCGGGAGACAAAAUGGCCGCCUGGGAGGCAAAAUGGCCGCCAGGAGAAAA